GACGAACGCUGGCGGCGUGCCUAAUACAUGCAAGUCGAGCGGAUGAAAGAGGAGCUUGCUCCUCUAGAUUCAGCGGCGGACGGGUGAGUAACACGUGGGCAACCUGCCCUGUAAAUUGGGAUAACUCCGGGAAACCGGGGCUAAUACCGAAUAAUCCUUCGGACCUCAUGGUCCGAUGUUGAAAGACGGUUUCGGCUGUCACUACAGGAUGGGCCCGCGGCGCAUUAGCUAGUUGGUGAGGUAACGGCUCACCAAGGCCACGAUGCGUAGCCGACCUGAGAGGGUGAUCGGCCACACUGGGACUGAGACACGGCCCAGACUCCUACGGGAGGCAGCAGUAGGGAAUCUUCCACAAUGGACGAAAGUCUGAUGGAGCAACGCCGCGUGAGUGAAGAAGGUUCUCGGAUCGUAGAACUCUGUUGUGAGGGAAGAACAAGUACCGGAGUAACUGCCGGUGCCUUGACGGUACCUCAUUAGAAAGCCACGGCUAACUACGUGCCAGCAGCCGCCGUAA
rnacentral:rRNA from 1 species